rnacentral:rRNA from 1 species
GACGAACGCUGGCGGCGUGCUUAACACAUGCAAGUCGAACGGUAAGGCCCUUCGGGGUACACGAGUGGCGAACGGGUGAGUAACACGUGGGUGAUCUGCCCUGCACUUCGGGAUAAGCCUGGGAAACUGGGUCUAAUACCGGAUAGGACUCCUGGCUUCAUGGUUGGGGGUGGAAAGCUUUUGCGGUGUGGGAUGGGCCCGCGGCCUAUCAGCUUGUUGGUGGGGUAAUGGCCUACCAAGGCGACGACGGGUAGCCGGCCUGAGAGGGUGACUGGUAACACGGGGAAUGAGAUACGGCCCAGACUCCUAGGGGAGGCAGCAGUGGGGAAUAUUGACCAAUGGGCGCAAGCCUGAUGCGGCGACGCCGCGUGAGGGAUGACGGCCUUCGGGUUGUAAACCUCUUUCAGCUAUGACGAAGCGCAAGUGACGGUAGUAGCAGAAGAAGGACCGGCCAACUACGUGCCAGCCGCCGCCGUAA